UCCGGUUUGUCACCGGCAGUCUCAUUAGAGUGCCCAACUCAAUGUAGCAACUAAUGACAAGGGUUGCGCUCGUUGCGGGACUUAACCCAACAUCUCACGACACGAGCUGACGACAGCCAUGCAGCACCUGUGUUCCGAUUCCCUUUCGGGCACAACCUGAUCUCUCAAGCCUUUCGGACAUGUCAAGGGUAGGUAAGGUUUUUCGCGUUGCACCGAAUUAAUCCACAUAAUCCACCGCUUGUGCGGGUCCCCGUCAAUUCCUUUGAGUUUUAACCUUGCGGCCGUACUCCCCAGGCGGUCGACUUCACGCGUUAGCUUCGUUACUGAGAGUGUCAAUCCGACCAACACCUAGUUCACAACGUUUAGGGCGUGGACUAC
rnacentral:misc_RNA from 1 species